GAAAAACAGGAAGGUUUGACACGAUUCUAAUGCAGAAUUACUCUUAGGAGAACACCUGCCUCAUUGGUUCGUUCUUUAACCUACUGGAGUUUAAAUCACGGUUUUUGAUUUGGUUUUAGGUGCACAUUUUUCUUGAAGGCUGCGCAGACUGUCUGCAAAACGCAGUGUGUGACUACGUGGCCAGACGCGCCUUACGCACCUGUGGCGCACUUGGAUACAAAGCUUCUUCAUUCGUACAGUCGUGAAAUAUUACACACUCUGUGGACUAUGUGGCAAUUUACAGUCACAUAAUUUACCCCCUUUCCCGUUUCCUGAUUCCUCAACAACAUAGAAUGACGCAUUUGAAAAAAAUCGAGCAGAAACUGUAAAAAUGAGUUUGUAUCAGAGACUGUUGGCGAGCUGAAAUGAUAUUGACAGUGUUCGCCUGUGAUGAAUACUUGUGCCUGUCCGAGAACUACAGCCUGUGUUAGCUCACGUGGAGG